rnacentral:rRNA from 1 species
AUUGAACGCUGGCGGCAGGCCUAACACAUGCAAGUCGAACGGUAACAGGAAGACGCUUGCUUCUUUGCUGACGAGUGGCGGACGGGUGAGUAAUGUCUGGGAAACUGCCUGAUGGAGGGGGAUAACUACUGGAAACGGUAGCUAAUACCGCAUAAUGUCGCAAGACCAAAGAGGGGGACCUUCGGGCCUCUUGCCAUCGGAUGUGCCCAGAUGGGAUUAGCUAGUAGGUGGGGUAACGGCUCACCUAGGCGACGAUCCCUAGCUGGUCUGAGAGGAUGACCAGCCACACUGGAACUGAGACACGGUCCAGACUCCUACGGGAGGCAGCAGUGGGGAAUAUUGCACAAUGGGCGCAAGCCUGAUGCAGCUAUGCCGCGUGUAUGAAGAAGGCCUUCGGGUUGUAAAGUACUUUCAGCGGGGAGAAAGGGAGUAAAGUUAAUACCUUUGCUCAUUGACGUUACCCGCAGAAGAAGCACCGGCUAACUCCGUG